UGUAGGAGCGAGCCUGCUCGCGAUGGCGUCAGUACAUUCAGCAUUGUUGCUGACUGAUCUGACGCCAUCGCGAGCAGGCUCACUCCUACA
rnacentral:ncRNA from 3 species